AAAGAGUAGCACAUUUACACACAUCUAGUCAUUUUUCUUCUUAUUGGCUAAUAUACUGGUGUUUUAUUUGGAUGUUCUGCACUGUAUGGCUUGCACAUAAUAUUUUGCCUAUGAAUAUUUAAAAUGUGUCAGCUAAUAGCCUAUAGGAGGUCUUGAUAUCUGCAGUUCUCAUUACUAAGCAAGAAGGAAUUUUUGAUGCCUUAGAGUGGAGUGGCGGCAAAAGUAAGGGUGAUGCUCUUCCAUUUAUCUGCUCCCCAGAGGCUGGUCCCAGCCUGCUCUUUAUUUUACUUGUCAGAGUCCAUGAGAUAAGUUGUAUGAUGAGAAAGGCAGAAAUUGCUAUUUGGCUGGGUCUUUCGCAAUUGGACUGCUCUAUCUCCUUUCCCUCAGUGAGAUCCUUUCAUUUUUGUCUAUGAAUAGGUCCUUGGAGAGUAUAUUAAAGGCUUGUCUUCACUACUGAAGCAAGUUGAUCUAAGUUACGCUACUCCAGCUAUGUGAAUAACAUAACUGGAUUCAACAUAGCUCAUGUCGACUUACAAUGGUGUCUUCAUUGCUCUGUGUCAACGAGAGACGCUCUCCGGUUGACUUCCUUUACUCUUCUUGGAGAGCUGGAGUACUGAGGUCGACUGGAGAACUCUCUGCCUCGACCCCUGCUGCAUCGAUUGCGGCAACGUCGAUCUCCCUGUAGUGAAGACCAGCCCUCGGAGUGGUGAUAGUAAUAACCACUGCAGCAGAGGAAGCCCAAUCACAAGGUUGAGAUUGGAGACACUGGGUUCGCUUCUCCAUGGCAGAGCAGUGCGGAUUUCACCUUUUGCACAAGUAACGGCUGCUGCACCCUCUAGGGGCUUACUGGCAAGGGAGGGCAAGGAGUGUUUGCUGUGCUGCUCUAUCUCACAGGCUCUGUCAGGGAAGGGCAGCUUUAAGUUGCAACUGGGGCUUCUAUGAAUUCCUGCUGGCAGAGGCUACCCAGGAGAGAGACGGAACCAGUGCAUGACUGUGCCAGUGUUACCUGGCCGUGACACCUUCAUCAUCCACUUCUGAGUUACUCUGACCACAUUUGGGCUCUCUGACUGAGUGGGAGUUUCAGAAAUCUUGCGCAGCUUCAGCCUUCUGCAGGUGGGCUUUGUACUUCUGGAGACUUUCUGUGUUGACUCCAGUGAAUCAAGGUCAGAUGGUAUCUUUUACAGAGACUGCAGGGUCAAAUUGUAUGAUUAUAAGUGGCUCCCAGAAUUUGCACUUAGUGCAUGUGGAAUUUGACUUUACAAUAAUGGACUUGUAGAUCAUGCACUGCAGGAAUUCUCCUGUCUUUUACUCUGAUCCUUUCCUUGGAAACAUUUUUUUCAACCUUAUAUUCCUGAAUCACCCUGAAUCUUUGUAUAUAAUUUCAUCUCAAGUCCUCCUUAAAGUUCCUCCUUAAAAUACACACCUUCCAAAAGGCUUAUAGAUACCCUCCUUCCCUUCAUUCAAGUGUUAACAAAAUCCAUGUUAGUAAAUAAAUAAAUAAAAUAAUCAUGCAACUAGCAAGAUGAGCUCAAGUACCACUCAGUUGCUGUGUAUUUGUUAUAUCCCUUCUCCCAUCCUUCAUCUGUGCAUUAUAUAUUUAGAGCGUAAGCUCCUUGGGCCAACAGCCUUUUCUUUGCAUUUUUGUGAUUUGAUUGGAUCUCGCUAAAGCUUUUGAUAUCAUUGACCAUGAGGUCUGUACUGACUCAUCUGCAAGAUCUUGCACAAGUGAAUGGACUGGCCCAUCAGUGGGUUCAUUUGUUACUUUCCAGGUCCGUGCUGAAUGAUGAAUUGCUCUUUCUCUCUGUGGGCCUGCAUAUGCCAGAUCCUGCAAGAUUCUGUCUUAUUCCCUCUCCUGUUUAAUAUAUAUAUGAAGCUUCUAGUGUAUUUUCCAGGAGCAUCUCCCAUGAUCUAGCAGAAAUAGGGAGCUGGAUAAAAACAAACUGGCUAUGACAGCCAGGAUAAGACCAAAGCAAUACUUGUCAACAAGGCGAAGUAUAUAAAAGAAUUGACAGAAGUAGUGUCUGCAGCACUGAUUGAGGGAACAUACUCACUUCUGCCAAAAUGGUGUUCUGGCUACGGGUCCUAUUAGACCUGUUACUGAUUCUAUAUUCUCAUCAGCAAUGACUUAUAAUAUCUGUCAUGGUUUGUGGGUGGUCAGGAAAUUGUGUCUAUUCCUCUCUGUGAUGACCUCACAAUGGUCAUCCAUACCGUUGUUACUGCAAUAAUCUCUACUUAGGGAAAACCUUGAAUUCCACCCAGAAGGUCCAUCUGACAGCUGCCUGCCACCUGAGUGAUUUCAGCUACCUGGAGUCCUUAAAGCCUGUGCUCAAAUCUCUGUGUUAGAUUCCUAUUUAUUCCAGAUGGAAUUGAAACUCUUGGUUGUGAUCUUCAAAGUCCUGGGUGGGGUGAGAUCUAAUUAUCUGGAAGAUUGUCUGUCACCUGAAGCCCCAUCAUAAAAGUUCAGGAAAAAUGGGAGACUCUUGAUAUUAAUUCCUGAAGUAAGUUUGAAGUACUCCUUGUCUGGCAGCAAGACUUCCUUAGUUGAGAGCUGUCAUUGGCUUUGGAAUUUGCUUCCCUUGGAAGUCCAACAGAACUUGAGUAUAGUGACCUUCAAGGCAUAAUGCAGGGCACUUAUUUUGUUUAUCAUUUGAAUGACUGCUUUUGUUUUUGUCCUUGCCAUACCUAAUUAGUUUUUAAUCUUUGCUUAGCUAGUAUAGCAAUAGGUGCUACAGAAAAGAGAAAAUAAACAAAUAUGUGCUUUGUUUGAUGGACAUCAAGGAAUAUGUGAGGCCUUCCUUCUGCAUUGGAGCAGCUCACCCUGCUAAAGACUUUCCUACUUAAUCGUAAGUAGUUAUAAGCAUUGCAUGGGGUGCUUAUAACUCAGAUGAGGGAUUAUGCAAGCAGUUAACGACACAAGGAUGAAGUUUUCAGUUUUCUUGUUCCGUCUUUGAGGCAGCUAGCACCCAAUGGCUAUCUGAUGUAGAGAACAGGGUCAGUAGCUCUGAAGAAAUGGAGGCCAGAGUCAGCAAGGGCUAUGAGACACAGAUGGAGAACUAUCCUCACCUAGCAAAAGAAGUAGAUAAUUUAGAGAACCAGUUGGUCUACUUGAGUUUACAGUAUUUUCCUCUGAUUCCUAGUACUAAUUGGGCUUGGUUGACAGGGCAUGGAUCACUUGAUGAUAACCUGUCUGUCCAUUCCCUUUGGGGCAACUGCCAUUGGCCACUUUCAGAGGACAGGAUACUGGGCUUGAUGGACCUUUGGUCUGACCCAGUAUGGCCGUUCUUAUGUUCUGAACUGGAGUCCCUGCUAUGGUAAAAACCCUUGUGCUGUCGUCAUCUUUUUUUUUUUUUAAACUUUGGCAAUAGAGGGAGAUUCUACAGGAUACUUAUUCUCAGCCCAUAUACUGUGCCAUGGUUAAAAAUUACAUUUUUUCCCCCCAGAAAUUUUUAGUGAAGCUUGAAAGAGAGAGGAAGGAUCAAAAACCCAGAGCUGCAGUGAGAACAAAAGUUUGUAGCUCUUUCCCCUAUAGGUCUCCAAGUAGUCUACAAGGGACAGAAACUGGUUUUGUUUUUUUUUAAACAAUUUACUGAAAGGGAAGAACUCUAUAUAGAAAAUGAACAACAAGAGAGGAAUAUCAUGAACAAAACCCUCUAUUUGCUAUUAUGGCACAGAUUGAACAGCAUCAUCAAGAGAAGAGGUGGCUAAGGGGGUUUCAAACCACUUUUAUGGCCUCAGUUCCAGUCAUGGAGUGUCCAGCUGCCAGUCUGUGAAUUGGCCUAAGUACAGCACCUUUCUUUCCCCCCAUCCACACCCCAUAUAUGGGGGACUGGAGUGGGAAUGGCAUUGGAACUGCUAUGGGAUCUUUAUAUCACUAGACGAUCCCCACUGUAUCCACAUGUGUAUGGCUUCUUUGUGCCAGUGAACCAGUGCAGAGCCUCUGUUUCUAUGUUACUCCAAUCUUUCAUAAUGUAUUACAUUGACUUCCUGUUAAAUAUUGCAUUAAUCCCAAAAUUUAUUAUAUUCCCCCCUUGAUACACAUCUAACUCUCAUUAAACUUAAUAGCUGUUAUAUGCACACAUCGUGGGUAGAACAGCCCAUUUUUAAAGGGGUUCAAAAUUGGAGAGACAUCUUUAACUGAACUGCUUUAAGUUAUUCUAUGGAUCAUCUGAAGCAGCUCUAUAUACUAUUUCACUGUUUAAGAUUAGGAAAAUAGUUCUUGGUUGCUAGCUGAAAUAUGGAAAUCAGUCUUUACCAGCAUCCAAGUUGCCAAAUUAAUAAAUAUUCAAAUCUAAUCUCAAAUAAGAAUUCAUUUCUCAGUUAAAUCUGAAUGAUAGAGCACCUUUUGCACUUUGGUAUUAAUGUGUCUGGGAAAUACACACAUGUAUGUAACAUUAUUUUGUAUUAUAAAAGCAUACUAGAUUAUGCUGUAUUAUAUCAUGCAAAAUCAUACGUAGCUACAAGGUACUUAAGCACAUAUCUGACUCUAAACACGAGUAGUCCAACUGAUUUCAGUGAGACUACUUGUGCUUAAAGUUAGGCACGUGCUUGAUAAAUCAGUCAGUGCCAAUACCAUUUAUAUUUAGACCUUAUUACAGGCCUUUUUAUUUAUGGUCAUUGAAUUAACUCUAAAACAAAAACAAAAAUAUUUUAAUAUUAGCGUUUUAUACACAGCACAUUUGAUGUUUGUCUAAAUGAUGUGAAGAAUAAUGUAAGAAAGCCUCUAUGGCAGGUUCAAUAAAAAAUAUGUUCAGUUGGCACUCUUUGGAAGACGGGGCAAGGCUGAUAAAACUUGGUGCAGAAGCUGAAUAUAUUUUUAUUGGAUGCAGCUCUUAGAGACCAUACAUUUGAAAAUGGGUAUAAAUGCGUUUAUAUGUAACUUUUCUAAGUGCUUGCCCUUCAGUCAUCCUGCAAUAGUAUAGAUCAGAAGUGUAGUUUUAAAAAGUUAGGAUGGGUUGAUAAUAUGAACGUUCUUAGAUGUUUUUUAAAAAAUAUGGUUUACAUGCAUUUUCACAUGUACUGUUCUCUGAAAUGUCUGUUUUCAAUGGUUAUAAUGUGCUCUUUACUUAAAAUAUUUAUUAGUUUUACAAAUCUGAAACUAACAAACAAGUCUCUGCUUAUUAUAUUGUGUUGUGAUAGUACCUAUGCACAUUAUUUGUGGUUGACUUUUUUUCUAUACAAAACAAGUCAUGAUUAAUAUAAACGAGCCCAGAUUGAUUCAGAUACAAUAAGGGCUGAAGAGUGAUGGCUGAUGCAAAGAGGGGAUAUUAGUAUUGUUCUUGCUAGAUGAUGAAUUACACUACAUCUUGCAUUAAAACAAUAAAUUGUCCUUGAGGUAUCAAAGACAUGAGCAAACAACAUGAUUGCAAAUACAUGGUCUUUUAACAGAUAGAAAAAGUUUGAAAUUCAGUAACAAUUUGAACACUAUUUUCUGAGUUUCAGAGCAUGAAGGAAGGGAUGCUGCAGUGUCUCAGGACAGUUUUGGUCACUGAACUUCUUGCCUCUUUAAACUCCCCUGGGGUCCAAUCCUGCACACCUUACUCUAUCAAAGCCACCACUGUAGUUAAGGAGAACUUUACCUGAGAAAGAAGUAUAGGAUUGGGUCCUCAGUUCUUUGGAAGUGGCAGGUUUAGCAAUAACCCAGAAUGAAUGUACUUGAUUAGCUUUCAUGUACAGGGAUGGAGUAAAUCAGAGAAAACUAUUCUCUCUCUCUCUCUCUCUCUCUUGAUAUAGAUAGAUAAAAUAGAGGUGCUUACUUUUGUAAAUAUUCUGGUGGACUAUGGCUGCUCAGAAACUUUUGUCUGUCAUGAUCAUGGGAGAAACAAGUGGCCAGCUGUGGUUUCACAGGUGCAUGGAAGAAACCUGCAGAAGGCAGCUGUUGAAGUAACAUGCUGACAGGGAAAAUUUACCCUUAUAUAGGAUUUUUCAUUUCAAAGUGCUUGUAAAAGGUGUUGGAGAGGGAUGACUUUUACUAAGUGAUGAAGUAUAGCAUAGGCAGCAUCAAUGCAAGCUCUCCCUUCACUACUCCAACUGUUUUUUGGAGGAACUAGUCCCAGUGCUAAAGUUUAGUCAGCAUGCUUCAUCUGUCCCUGGACUUUUUGCUGAGCGUUCCAGCAAAGGUGCCACUUCGUAUGAAAUAUAACAGUGGUUUUCAAGAUAUGGGGAGACCUGUCUACUGGGAACCUGAUUUUGAACAUCAACCUAUUUCAUAUAUAGGUCCAACAUUCAGCAGAAAGUCACUACUUACUUGAGUUAGAUUUGAACUACUGACCUUGAAGAAGAAAAGUUCCAUAAUUUAUUAUCUGUCUUGAGCUAGCUGGUUACUAACACCCAGGUUGAAAUCUCAGCCCUAUUGAAGUCAACAGGAGUUUUGUCACUGACAUUGAUGGAGCCAAGAUUUCAACCCUGCUCUUUAACACUGAGGUGGAUUUUCUGCAUCCUCAUCAGUAACAGGCCAUAAAUCUAGCCACAUCAUCAAGGCUCAGCUACUCACUGCCAUUGCUCACCUGGUAAAAGGCAUGCACAGUCUUUAGUUCGUAGAAAUAAUGAGGACACCUGAUAGAAAAAUCAGGAAGAACCCAGUUCCCACAGGGAAGAAAAGAAGUCCAACCACAAGGUAAAAAUGAGGGCUAGUGUGUUAGAGGUCCUACUUCCUUCGUGCGGGCAUUGAACUUUGUCAUACAGAAAUUUAUGUCAAAGUUCUUGUGACAGAAUAAACCUCCAUGUCCAUUAUUGUAAUAAUCUUUGUACAAAGUGUGCCUUGUGAGGUAUCAUUUAAAAACUCAUAAUUUGCUGGUCAUUAUUGUCCUGGCAAAAUAUAUGUGGCAACAUUGUAUAUAAAGUUGUAAGAUUACACUGUAUGGUGUUACUAAAACAUGUUCCAAGUCUGGGGAAUGGCCAAACCAGUUCUUCAGAGACAAAGGGCAAGCUGAAGCCUCAGUCAGAUGUAAACUAGACCAAUGGUCUAGGGUAGACUAUAAAAAGAAAGGGGAAAUGCCCCAAGUCACCCCUCCUCCUUCUCUCUCUCUCUCUCUCUCUGUCCACUGAUUCACUGCAUGAGAAGGAACAAAGGAAGCAGCCUUUACACAUAAGAACGGGUCCUAGCCUAAGGAGUGUGGUCAGUAAGACCGUUUAGAACAUGUGAUGAGAAGAACUUUGCAUUGAAUUUAACAUAGUUUUGUUCAGUUAGGCACUAGUUGCCUUUUGUCUUUGUCUUGUAACCAUUUUUGACUUUUAUGCCUUAUUAUCCCUUGUACACUAUAUAGUCUUACACCUACUGUCCUAGGGCAUCCUCAGCUCGGCAUGAGUGGGGAUGCACCCAGACCUCAGGCUGCAGCCUGAGCCUGAAUAUCUAUACUACAAUUAAACAGCCUCUUAGCCUGAGCCCCAUGAGUCCAAAUCAUAUGACAAGGGCCAGUUGCGGGUGUUUCAUUGCAGUGUAGAUAUACCCGGAGUGACCCAGAGCCCCUAUAGUGUCUCCUACACCCCUCUGGCACUCAGCCCAGUGUGUGUAGCUGGAGCAAAGGGAGCAGGGCUGGGCAGCUCUAUGCCUUAAUGCCAAAGGGGGCUGCAGACAGCAGUACACAAGACCAGCCCUGAGGAUGCUCUAACUUAUGCUGCAUGCUGACUUGGUUCCUAGCUGGUCCCAGGUUUGGGAAAGUGUAGAGGUGGCUUGAAACUACCUUUGUUCACUGCCCCCAAGGCCCUACUCUCUGAGUCUUGUAUUGAGUGCAGCUUGGUCAUAUUGGAAGAUUUGGGCCUUCAUCUUUAAAGCAAUCUGCAAAUAUUGGGGCAAACCACUUUGCCUUACUCAUGUUACUAGUCCCAUUGGCUUCAGUGGGACUACUUGCAUCAAUAAGAUAAUCAGGAGGCUAUUAACCAAUUAAUCCUCUCAACAGCUCUGUGAGGUAGGUACUGUAACCAAGAAUUAUCCACAUGUUAUAUGUGCCAAAGCUAUUGUAAGUAAAGUUUACUAGUAAGUAGAUUAAUAUGUUUUGUAAGGGGAAAAAACUUGAGAUGGCUUAUAAAGUCUUACUCAUUUGCAAAGGCAAACCACAUUUUAUUGAUUUAUUUUUAGUAACUGGUGAUAGUUAAAAACAUUUACAAUGAGUCAGGCCUUCUAAGAAAGCCGUUUAGCCUUCACUGUGUAACCAUUUUUAGGGCUCUACCCUGCAAGGUGCUGAGCAACCUCCCUGAAGUCAAAGGGAAUUACUGAGCAUCUUGCAGGAUCAGGCCCUUACAAAGUAGACAUAGAGUGCCCAUUGGGUAUGUCUAUACUACAGCUGGGAGUCAGCCUUCCAGCCUGGGUAAACAGACUCGCAUUAACUUCACUCACACUAGUGUGCUAAAAAUAGCAGCGUGGGUGGUGUGGCAGUGAUGUAGAUUUGGGCUAGCCACCCAAACUCAGGCCCAGAGGGUUGGGUGGGCUUGAAAAUCCAAGUUUCUGUGUCCACAACUAUUUUUCAGCAUGGUAGCUUGAACAGAGCUAGCGCAAGUCUGUCCACUGGGCUAGGAAGCUUGCUCCCAGCUGCAGUGUAGACAUCCAUGAACUUCAGGGAGUUUUGGAUCAGGCCCAUUGUAAUUUUAUGUUCUUUACCUAGCGUGACUUCAGAGUGCUACAUGAUUGUUGAAGAUAGCACAGCAGCGUAAUUUUUAAAAAAGAUCAGCAUGCACUUAGCAUUUGCUUUUUAAAUUUAAAUUGAAAGUUUGUUUAUUUUUGUAUUUAUUUGUGUUUGUAGUGGGAUAAUUCCCUUGCAGCCUAGAUUUCUCUGUCUUUCAGAAUACAGUAAUGCCACCCAGCUAAUUUUUCAUCAUUAAACCCUGAAGCAUUUACUAAAUGGAAAAAUUAUAAUUCUAUCUCUUCCACAGAAAUGAAAAUUUGCAAACCUAAGAUUAGGUAGAAUUCAUUAGCAUAUGCACAAGUGCUUAAUUACAUUAGUGAUGCAAAUGUUUUGCAAGAUUAUGCUUUUGUAAACAAAAUGAUCUUCUUAUUAUAGAGAAUUUGUGAUAACUGCAAUGUAAAGGAGCCUCAGAGGAAAAAUUAGGAGAACUGAGGAGGACUACUGUAUUCAGUGCCUAAGACAAGGGUUUCCUUAAAAUACAUUGAAUCCCCAGUAUUUCAUUAAAAAUGUCUGUUUAAUUUUACGUGGUAGAUUCUAUAACAAACCUUUUUUUACUAUAUGCUUUAUUUUCACUUUAAAUUAAUAGAACUGGAGCAAUUAUGUCAUAGAUAGCUAAGCUUCUGGAUAUUCUAAAUCCACAAUAAUUAGAAACAUUGGUAUAGAACGAAUUUCACACCUUCUGCAUUAAAACUUGGAAUAUAUAUUCAUACAUUUAUUUUACAUAAUAUUAUAAAAUACAUUAUGUGGCAUGAAAUAUGAUGCAAUGAAUAGGUGGGAUUUUUAGGAAACAGGCUCAUUUUAUAUUUGCACCUGUAGAUGAUAUUCUGCAUCUUCAAAUUGGUGCUUACAUGUCAAAAAUAAUAAUUUACCAUCAGUCACAAACUGCUUACUAACAAGUGUUACAGUUUCUUACACUUUUAUUUUUAUUUUUGCUGUUAGGUUUAAUUAUAAUUUUUCAUAAUAAACUUUUUCUCUUCAACAGAAUUACUUCUGUCCUAAAGGCCCAAUCAUGCAUUUCUUGAGCACCCCCAAAAUCUCACUGAAUUGGAUGAGAGUCUUUGCUCCAAAAGAAUUGAAUGAUUGGACCUUAAGGCCCAAAUGAUGAUGGGGAAUGAACCAGUCCUGGCUUUGUUAGUAGCAUAUGACUAUUAAAGGGUCUAUACGUGAUUUGUUUGGGAUGAGCUGCAUAAUUCACUUGUGGCUUUGCAACUAAUUAGUAAUGCAGCAGUCCCAAACUCAUGGCAAUAAAACCUUUCCCAUCAUCAUUUAUUCAUGUGUGUGUGUAUAAAACCAGUGUUAAAAAAAAAGUUAUUUAGAUUGCAAAGUCAAGCUCUCAAAGUUAGGAAACGCCAGCUAUAUGGUGGCCCAUGCAACCUUGUUUCUGCAUCCUUGUGCCCAUCCCAUGCAAUAAAUUACAGAUAGGUCCUAUGGAAAAAGUAGUAUGUGAUCAUGUUAUUAAAGACUGUACCAUAAUACAUAUACAUAAGGGGGAAGCAUGCAUGGGUAACCAUAAAUUUGGCAUUUCCUAACUUUGAGAGCUUGACUUUGCAAUCUAAAUAAUAUUUUUGGAGGUAGUUUAAAAAAAAAAGUAAUUUCCUAAUUUUUUAAAAGGAAAAAGGUAAAAACAAAUUAUAUUAUGUACAAUUGCAGAAACCUCAUGCAUCUUCAUCAGAGCCUGAAUGGUGAACCUUCAGCAUCACAACACUGAUGUCCAUCACUAGAGCUACUGGACUAGCUACAGUGUUUGGCAGCAGGAGAAAGCUAUUAUGCUGCUUUUAUUUCAUUGUAUUUUAUGAUUAAUUAAAUCAGGCCUAGAGCCUUGCACAGGCCUUUUUAUCAUUUGAAAUCCAAAUAUAGAAAGUUAAAUUAAAAAAUUCUUAGAGGAACCUAGUGCUGGGUCCAGGGUCUCUUGGCCAUGCCAAAGUUACUCAGGCAGCUCCCUGGCUGGAUCCUCAGCUCUAGUCAAUGGAGCUACACCAAUUUACUUCAGAUGAGGAUGAGGAUCUGGUCUCAUGAAUAUGUGUGUACACAUACAGACGCACACUCAGAGAUAUACUAUGUAUACAUAUUAUAGAGAAGCUAGGAGUGACUGCUAUAUUUAGGUUGUCUAACACUUUCCACUAUAAUUGAUUCUUGUGACCUUCUUUUGAGAUGAUCUAACACCUUCGUUGUUUGCAGCAAACCUUUGAAAUUCAGCAAGGAGAAAGAUUUGAUUAAUAUCACUCUAAUUCAUCUGUUGUAUUAGUGGAAACAAACUCUCUCUGUCUCUCAUGCAUACGCACACUCAUUUCUAUUGAGAUGCAAUUAAAUGAUUUACCAAUAUCUAUCUAUCUACCUAUAUAUCUAAUUUCAGACAAUUUCUCUAGUACCAUGAUGCUUUAGUGCCAUGAAACCCAUUUCACAUUUCAUCAGUCCCUCUGAAAAUGAUGGAGUGAGAUCAUUUACCCAGUUCUUGUUAAUGGGUUGGGCCUUUUUUAUUCUUACUACACAAAAUGAGAGAAUAGCAUGGCAAAUUCAUAUCCAUUACUAAAACAGAUAUACUGCUGUGAUACUAGUCAGAUCUUGUUUAAUAGAUGUGCUAAUAAAGAAAAAUAUCUAACUUCAG